GAGGAAUAUUGGUCAAUGGGCGCAAGCCUGAACCAGCCAAGUAACGUGCAGGAAGACGGCCCUAUGGGUUGUAAACUGCUUUUAUACGAGAAUAAUUUGAUGCACGUGUGCGUUAUUGCAUGUAUCGUAUGAAUAAGGACCGGCUAAUUCCGUGCCAGCAGCCGCGGUAAUACGGAAGGUCCGGGCGUUAUCCGGAUUUAUUGGGUUUAAAGGGAGCGUAGGCUGGAGAUUAAGUGUGUUGUGAAAUGUAGACGCUCAACGUCUGACUUGCAGCGCAUACUGGUUUCCUUGAGUACGCACAACGUUGGCGGAAUUCGUCGUGUAGCGGUGAAAUGCUUAGAUAUGACGAAGAACUCCGAUUGCGAAGGCAGCUGACGGGAGCGCAACUGACGCUGAAGCUCGAAGGUGCGGGUAUCGAACAGGAUUAGAUACCCUGGUAGUCCGCACAGUAAACGAUGGAUGCCCGCUGUUGGUACCUGGUAUCAGCGGCUAAGCGAAAGCAUUAAGCAUCCCACCUGGGGAGUACGCCGGCAACGGUG
rnacentral:rRNA from 1 species